UAAGGAAUAUUGCUCAAUGGGAGAAAUCCUGAAGCAGCAACGCCGCGUGGAGGAUGAAGGGUCUAUGACUUGUAAACUCCUGUAAAGAAGGAAAAAAUUCCCAUUAGAUGGGAGAUGAUGGUACUUCUGGAGUAAGCCCCGGCUAACUACGUGCCAGCAGCCGCGGUAAUACGUAGGGGGCAAGCGUUGUCCGGAUUUACUGGGUGUAAAGGGUGCUCAGGCGGAUUUGUAAGUCAGAGGUGAAAUCUUACAGCUUAACUGUGAAACUGCCUUUGAUACUGCAAGCCUAGAGUAUGGAAGAGNGUGAUGGAAUAUCUGGUGUAGCAGUGAAAUGCGUAGAUAUCAGAUAGAACACCAAUGGCGAAGGCAGUCACUUGGUCCAUUACUGACGCUAAAGCACGAAAGCGUGGGUAGCAAACA
rnacentral:rRNA from 1 species